AGGCCCCAGGGUGUUGAAUAAGAGCUGAGCUGGUGGAAAACUUGUGACACGGGUGUGAUGGAUCCAGGAGUGCUCUCCUUGGAGCUCUGGAGUGUUUCAUCAGCCUGGGAUUCCACCCAUCUGAGCUGGCAAUGGGCCCUGUUGUUUCUAGGACACCUAGAAUUCAUCAUUUGUGCCUGGCUCGUUUUAUUCACUUAUACGUUUGAAUUCUUUGUAGUUGAAUCAUUUCCUGUUUAAAUCUCUUCAACUUUUCCUCUUUGACCCAGAACUGACUGCACAAUAUCUCUGUUCUGCAGUGCAUGAAAGAUUCUUCACAAAAGCUCUGCACGACCGGUUUGUGAAGUCUGAAGAUCCUCUGGGCAUGCCCAGAAACUUAGCAGCCCAGGAAGAGAAAACUGAAAGGGACACAGUGGAAACAGGAGAGAGGUUCUACAGCUGGGAGCAGCUUGAAUCAAGCCCAUGUCAACAGCCCAUGUCUUCUCUCUUCUCUUGCAAUCCUACCGACUCUUACAGGAGCAAAUCCAAUGCUACCUUCCCAGCCUAAUUUAAUCUGUUCCUUUGUGUUUCUUAGAACACUUUUGUUUAUUUUGUCUUACUUACAAGUCUUUUUUGCAUCAUACUUAUUUAAGUAUGUCUUAUGUAUGUAUAUUUCCCUAUUAGAUUGUUAGUGUCCUGGACAAUUACAGUGACUCAGUAGAGUGUGCCUCUCUCUUCCUUAGCACACUGCCUUGCACUUUACCAAAUUAAAAAAAUGCUUGAAUUGAAUGGAAUGAAAUCCCCAUCUAAGAAAUGAUUUGACUUAAAACAGAUCUGAGAAUGCUGACUCAUACAUAUAUCCUGCUUUGGUUGGGUGGAUCUGAAAUCUUGGGUGAACCUCAGUUACUCCUGGGUUUGUUAUAGCUUCAGCAAAGGCAAUAGCCAGGGUUCAUUGACCUUUGUGUCUGUCUUUAAAUGAUAAUGGAAUCACAUUCAUUUUAACAGUUUAUAUACUAACAUUGUAAAGAUACUGCAGAGACGACCAUGGCCAUAUUUAAUGAAGAAAGGCAAAUUCUCGAAGUGUUCAUUGUUUUAAAGGAAAAUACAUACUCAAGGCAUAGGGGAUUAAUUAAACUUAUAUUGUAGGUAAAAAAGUGGAAUGUGAUGAAUUAAAACGGUAAGGGAGAUCUAUGUUUCUUAGCAUGGAAGAGUUCAGAAUGUCCCGCACAGUUAAAAAAAAAUGUCUAAAGUAGUACGUUUAUUAUGAUCUCAUUUUUUUGGUAAAAACAAAACAAAAGAUAACUUUUAUGUAAGAUAUGUGUACACACACUUGGAAAAAAGUUUGAAAAAAUAAUUUGGAAAAUGAGUUCUAUAGUUAAAGUGUUCAUAACAAGAAUUGGGUAUAGCACAAUUAGCUAAUUAUGUAGCAUAAUUUAUAUGAGCAACUCUUAAUGGUAACUAGCACUGGUUGGGAAUAGUUUGAUGAUUAGCAUCAUCGGAAUAGAAGUAAAUAAAAAGAAAAAAAGCUAAAAAAAAAAAAAAAAAAAAAGCUGCUGCUUAACCUGGCUGUUAUAGACUGGGCUGCGAGCAGAGCUGCACAGCAGCAGUGAUAGGGAAUCAGAGGGUACUGAGUACAGGGAGUAAAGGGCAAGGAAGGAAGAGUCUGUUUGCUUUUGUACUUUUUGAUUCACCUUUUUUUGUUUUUUUUUAAGCUGGCAAUAACUAGAUACACUUAUGGUUAUGAAAACACAUUUAUUAUUGAAAUGACUGUGGAAAAAACCCCUGUUCUACUGUGAGUCUGAAACUUCUCUGUUCCUAUUAAAAUAUUUUUUAAAUCUU